rnacentral:lncRNA from 1 species
AGGUAAGACAGUUUUAUUGAGUUCAUUUAAUUUCCCCUUAGUAAUGAAACUUUUAAUCACAUAAAUCAGUGGUUUGUGUGUGUAUUUUCACUAAGGUUGACAUGUGAGAGAGACAUACUUACUUUUAUAAUUAUUUGUUUGUAUGUGCUGAUACAAAACCCUCAGGGAUUUUAACAGAAACCCACCAGACUUAAGAGGAAUUAUCAAGAUCCUUCUUAAAAAAAAAAAAAGAAAAAGAAAAAGAAAAAAAGAAAGUUGAAUUGGCAUCUUCACAAAUUCACGUAAACCAAAUUUAGCAGGUUAGCAACAUCAUACUGCGUACUGCACAGUCACUGUUAAAAAGCUUCAUUUCUACUCGUUCCCAAGCCCACACCUGACCUCCCUUCCUACAGCAGGUGCCUUGCCAUUUUUUAUUUAUGAAGAGAAGGUUGCUUGUAGCUUGAACUUCCUCAACUUCUCACCCUCUCAAGCUCCACUUCAGGUCUCUUGGCUUUUUCUUGACUGUUGGAGAGAAAGUAUGUAUCUUCAGGCUUCCCACUAGAGUCCUCAGACUCCUCCUUGGUCCUCUCCCCAGAAACUCCCAUUCCGCGGACAUCCUAUUGCUUAGAUCUCAAUCGCUCCAUCUUUACUGAUGCUCUCCUUUCAAAUGAAAAGCAAAGUGGGGCCAUAAAAAAAAAAAAAAAAAAAAAAAAAAAAAAAAAAAGAAAAAGAAACCUUAAAAAUGCUCGAAGAAAACACGAAGUGGCAUCAGCUAAAGCUACAAUCGUGAUGAAAUAAACCUCUGCUUUCUGUAAACGUGGAGGCAGGUAGGUGGCUUAUGCUCUUGAGGACUUAGAAGACCUGGAUUCCAACAAACCAUCUCAUUGCCCGAAGGCCCAAUCUCAGUGUCCCAGAAGCUCAGCAGUCCCCGCUGUGGGAGCAAAAGCCAAGGGAGGAGGGUACCCUUGUUUGUGCAACAUACAUUGUCAACAUACAUUGUCAGUGCUUAAGCAGUCCUUACCCGGUAACUUUUACAUUAGGUUGUUUCCUAGAAAUACCUUUUCAGGUUACGUGCAAAAGUCAGUCUUCUUCGGAGAAAGGCUUUAUCCACUGGAGGCUUGGUAUCUUUCCCCAAGACAGCACCGAUUUAGUGCUUCCACCCAAAUAAGGAUAGACUCUGCUCAUCUUAAAAGUCAUUUUGAUGACUCAGGGAGAUGGUAACGUCGGUAUACAUUUUUCUAAGGAUCCAGGAAGUGGUAUGUCUCACCAUGGAUUAAUAUAAUCUUCUACUACAAGUGGAAUUUGGAAAAGGAAUAAAAUGUACUUCCUAGUUUCAUCAAUAAAUAUUUAUGGAGGGCCUCCCGCGGAGGCACUGUACUAGGUGUUAUGAGGGUCAGAGAUGGCUCCAAAGAUAAGCCAGAUAUGGCCUCUGCCCUCAAGGCAUUCCCAAGGUGCUGGGUGACAAGACAUAGACGUGUCAAUAAUUACAGUAGAGGACAGAUAAUGAUUCAUGCCCUAAGUGAGGUAAAGACACCUAACAGAUUUCACAGGAGGAAGUGGCCAAUCCUAAAAAUAUAUGUGUCAUCAGUUUCUUUACUUCAUUUUGAAUCCCAAAGUCCUAGUGCAAAUCUGUCUGUGAGAGAGCACCUGAACAUAAUAAACACUACUACCGAAGAAUCCCUAAUAGACAGUGUUCACACUGUGGCAUCUUUCUGGUACUGGUACCAAGAUUCGGUAAUACCGAUCCACGUGACGACCUGAGGUCCUGAGGAGGGAAUCUUCUAGACCAGGCUGUGAGGCUACCUGGGUCAGAGUAGUAACUGCCAUGCAUUCAUGGGGCUCUGCAGCUUUAAAAGCAUGUUUCCAUCCAUUAUCUGUCAAUUAUUUUCCCUGAGGACAGGCUGGCACCAUGUAAAGUGCAGCCAGGACACCAGGGUUCGAAUUUUGCUCCCUUCUCUCUGAUGCAAAAUGAGGGGUUUGGUCACUAGAUUCUCUCCAAGGUUCCUCAUGUAGCUAGGUACAUAGGGCAAAUUUUAUUAUCACCAUUUUAUAGACGGGGAAACUGGAGUCAAGAGAGCUCAAGGGACUCGCCCAAGGUCUCAGAUAAUAACUGAUAUCCAGUUCUUGAGACGAGACACCAGACCUGUAAGGACAAAGUAUUUUCUAUUAUGUCAGACUCAGGACCCUUCCUAGUAUUUGUGGGCAAGAGGACAAAGAGAGGCCCACAUAGCAUUACUCUAAAUACUUAAGUUAUAAAUCAAGAUAGCAAACUGUUAACAAAAUAGGAUCCAUGUGUCCUCUCACCCUGACAAAUACCUCCUUACAAGGACCUGCAUGGUGUGAAUCAGGAAUUCGGGACUCUUCCAAGGAGGAGGCUGGAAAGGGGAAGGGAAGCAAAGCUGACUCCAUGGAGGACCCUUCCUGCACCCACUGGGAGCCCACAGCACCUGGGAGUGCACACCUCAGCCCAACAAACAGCCAUCCCUGGACACAGGACUGAGUUCAAAAUUCCAAGCAAGUCCUAUUUGGGCAGAGGAUUCCAGAAUUCUGACUCCCUGGAGCCUGGCCUAGAAGCAGGUUCAGCUUCCUUGACCCUGCGGGAGGGUGCAUCACCAGGGGAGAACCCCGGGGCGGUGGGCAGAGGUCCCUCUCGCUUGGGGUGGAGACAGUCUGACCUCAGGCCCCAAGGCUGACCCUAAGCAAGAGUACAACCUGGGGACUUCCCCGAGAGGAGGCAGUAGGGCCCGAGAGGCACACGCCAGCUUCUGCAGCCCAACAGGGAGGCCGGGGUCCUAGCCCGGCCACUCACCCGCUGGGAAAUCGCAGGCAAGUCACCCAACAUCCCAGGACCUCAGUUGCUUCCUCUUUAAAACAGGUGUAACAAGGCCUGUGAGGCGGCGCGGAGGAGCCGUGCGGGACCUUCUGCAGACAUUCAGCGCUGGUCAGUGCUGCGGGGCUUCUCCUCUGCUGCAGGAGGUGGGUGUGCCUCUGACAGGUGGGGUGCUCUUUGCUUUUUUCUUCUUUUUUUUUUUUUUUCCUGGAGGAUUACAUAAGCACAGAGUUCGAGGCGGGCUCUCUGAUAGUCAAGGUUAAAACACGUUGUCUGCGCUCCACCGUGAGGGCGGGGCGGGCACCCCCCGGCACCCCCCAGCACCCCGCUCCCCUCCCCACCCCCCAGGCGGCGGCUGCACCCACGUCCCGCCGGGGCCGGUGGGGACUUGGGGCUGCGCCUCCGCGGCUCGGGGCAGGUCAGCCCGCGAACGUGGCCGGACCCGGGGCCCAAACCCAGCGCUCGCCACGCAGCCGGGCGCGUCUCGUCCGAAGCGCACGCCGAGCGCGAGUAGCCUCGGCUUGCAAAACCAAAAAAAAAAAAAAAAAAAAA